UACGGGGGGGGCAAGCGUUGUUCGGAAUUACUGGGCGUAAAGGGCUCGUAGGCGGCCAACUAAGUCAGACGUGAAAUCCCUCGGCUUAACCGGGGAACGGCCUCUGAUACUGGAUGGCUGGAGUUCGGGAGAGGGAUGCGGAAUUCCAGGUGUAGCGGUGAAAUGCGUAGAUAUCUGGAGGAACACCGGUGGCGAAGGCGGCAUCCUGGACCGACACUGACGCUGAGGAGCGAAAGCCAGGGGAGCAAACGGG
rnacentral:rRNA from 1 species